UUAUUCCACAGCAAAUAAUCAAAACAAAUGGCAUUAUGAAACAUGACCUGACAGGCACAAGAAUCAAUAUUCUGUUGCUGAAGCGGGGAGAUGUUUAUUAGUGCUGCUCACAGAUGUGAAGAGGAUUUGCGUGCGUGAGAUGAGUGUCUUACCCCGAGACGACCAAAUCUCCGUCAGAGGAGUAAGCACAGGACAGAACUGGAGCCGACUGGGCGGUGAGAGCGUGAAGCAACGUCAUGACAUAGGCUGAGGGCCACACACAAACAAAGAGGGGUGAGGGAGCAUUCGGUUGAGGGAACGGGCAAAGAGGUCUGCCUACCUGCUCCUUCACGCUGGGAAACAAUCCAUAUUUUCAGCUGGCUGUCCUGCCCACAGGAGGCCAGUCGAAACUCCACACAGCAGCCAUCUGCAGAACAAAAAGAAGCCACAUCUCGUCUUUCUGAAUGCUCACGCUCGACUGAGUCUAAUAGACAGAGGAAGACAAAUAUCAUCCGACGGCCUGUUUGUGAAGCAUGCCGGCAUCUUUUAUACUGGUUGCUCACACUGUACCUGAGCAGACUCUUGGAGGUGAAGUCCCAGAGGGCCACGGUGCCAUCGCAGGCCCCGGCCAGCAGGAGGGAGGAGUCCGGCGCCAGUGCGCACACUCGGAGCG